AGUGAACGCUGGCGGUAGGCCUAACACAUGCAAGUCGAACGGCAGCACAGUAAGAGCUUGCUCUUACGGGUGGCGAGUGGCGGGCGGGUGAGGAAUACAUCGGAAUCUACUUUUUCGUGGGGGAUAACGUAGGGAAACUUACGCUAAUACCGCAUACGACCUACGGGUGAAAGCAGGGGAUCUUCGGACCUUGCGCGAUUGAAUGAGCCGAUGUCGGAUUAGCUAGUUGGCGGGGUAAAGCCCCACCAAGGCGACGAUCCGUAGCUGGUCUGAGAGGAUGAUCAGCCACACUGGAACUGAGACACGGUCCAGACUCCUACGGGAGGCAGCAGUGGGGAAUAUUGGACAAUGGGCGCAAGCCUGAUCCAGCCAUACCGCGUGGGUGAAGAAGGCCUUCGGGUUGUAAAGCCCUUUUGUUGGGAAAGAAAAGCAGCAGGUUAAUACCCCGCUGUUCUGACGGUACCCAAAGAAUAAGCACCGGCUAACUUCGUG
rnacentral:rRNA from 1 species